rnacentral:rRNA from 1 species
GACGAGGGGUCCUAGCGUUGUUCGGAAUCACUGGGCGUAAAGCGUAUGUAGGCGGGCUUUUAAGUCGGGUGUGAAAUCCCACGGCUCAACCGUGGAAUUGCAUUCGAAACUAUCUGACUCGAGUAUGGGAGAGGGAAGCGGAAUUUCCGGUGUAGCGGUGAAAUGACGUAGAUAUCGGAAGGAACACCAGUGGCGAAGGCGGCUUCCUGGACUAAUACUGACGCUGAGGUGCGAAAGCGUGGGGAGCAAACAGG